rnacentral:lncRNA from 1 species
GAUUGGGGUGAAGGUGGCAGAGAAUGCUCAACGGCGUGGAAACUACAUGUCCCACAGUACUUCGGGAGUCCCACGCCACCACCGCCGGGGUUCUCGGGAUUAUGGCAUUUAUUUUCUGAUGCCAGCUUUGCUGAACUCAUCUUAAGGUUCACUAACAGCCAGAAGGAUUCAUAAUGAUCCCUAGGCCAUCUGCUUUGCGGUUGUACCAAGGAACUGGCAUAGAAAGAAGAUACCUGCUCAAAAACACUAAUAGGUCAGUCUUGAGAAUCCAGAUCUUUUGAUGUGGUAAACUUAUUGGUAGGCAAGAUACUCCUUUCCUUUUAAUAGAAGAUUCAAAGAUGUUUAAAAAUUUUUUUUAUUUUGAAAAUAAAAUUGAUUCAUAAAGUGCAAAAGAAGUUAGAUGUGUCCAGUGCUCUAUGUCCAUCUUCGACAAACUGUUGGAAACAGAAAAGAGAAAACAAUCAAAUACAUAAUCGUCAACUUCAAAUUAUUCUAUUGCGGAGUUAAGCUAUGAACCAUAAGCUAUUAUCCAUAGUUACACUAAGAUAAUUAAAUUUGCACAGCCGUGAUGAUAAAAGCUAUCACUAGGUGCAAGGUCCCUAACUUCCAGGCCACUGGAACCAGGCUGCCAACAACGAAAGAAUUCAGACUGGAGAUCACAAAACAUGAAUGCGAAGAUGUACACUGUCUACCAGGGAUAUCAUCAAAAAGAAUGAUAAGGGGGUAGAGGGUGGCAGGAAUACCUCACCUUUCUUCCUUUCCUUCUUUCCAGUAUUUUCCUUUUUGAAGUUUAAUGUCAAGGUGCAACAAUGCUGCCCGUGUCCAAGUAGCGCCUCCGCAGCCGGUUCGCCUGCCAGCCCACGAGCACCCCGGACGCGAAGGCCACCAGCACAGACAGCUGCAGCGUCCUCUCGGACACGUCCGCCAUGGCAGCCGGCGGCGUGCAGCGCGACCUACGGCGCGGCGGCGGGGUCAAAAGGCGCCCCGCGUUCCCGGGCGGGGCGGAGCGGAGCGCGGCUCGGCGCGGCGCGCAUGCGCGCAGCUCGUCCCGCGGCGCGCGGGCUCCAAGCCCUGGGCUCCGUGCGGCUCACCUGCUCCGCGAGGCUGGCCGCGCUGGGCGGGAGCCGCGGGCGUGAGGCUCGUUCGGCGUUGGUCUCGCCCUGUUGGCAGCUCUGA